UACGUAGGGUGCAAGCGUUGUCCGGAAUUAUUGGGCGUAAAGAGCUCGUAGGCGGUCUGUCGCGUCGGAUGUGAAAAACCCAGGGCUCAACCCUGGGCCUGCAUUCGAUACGGGCAGACUAGAGUUCGGUAGGGGAGACUGGAAUUCCUGGUGUAGCGGUGAAAUGCGCAGAUAUCAGGAGGAACACCGGUGGCGAAGGCGGAUCUCUGGGCCUGUCCUGACGUGAGGCGCGAAAGCUAGGGGGAGCGAACAGG
rnacentral:rRNA from 1 species